rnacentral:rRNA from 1 species
CUACGGGUGGCACCAGUGAGGAAUUUUGCGCAAUGGGGGAAACCCUGACGCAGCAACGCCGCGUGAGUGAUGAAGAUUUUCGGAUCGUAAAGCUCUGUCAAGUGGGAAAAAAGGUUUUCGGUUAAUACCCGAAAGCUCUGAUGGUACCACUGGAGGAAGCACCGGCUAACUCCGUGCCAGCAGCCGCGGUAAUACGGAGGUGGCAAGCGUUGUUCGGAUUCAUUGGGUGUAAAGGGUAUGUAGGUGUCCUGAUAAGUCGAAUGUGGAAUCCCUUGGCUCAACCAAGGAACUGCAUUCGAAACUGUCAGGAUUGAGUAUGGAAGAGGAGAGUGGAAUUCUCGGUGUAAGGGUGAAAUCUGUAGAUAUCGAGAGGAACACCAGUGGCGAAAGCGGCUCUCUGGUCCAAUACUGACACUGAAAUACGAAAGCUAGGGGAGCAAACAGGAUUAGAUACCCGUGUAGUC